rnacentral:rRNA from 1 species
GGCCUACCAUGGUGGUAACGGGUAACGGGGUGUUAGGGCACGACACCGGAGAGGGAGCCUGAGAAACGGCUACCACAUCCAAGGAUGGCAGCAGGCGCGCAAAUUACCCAAUCCCGACACGGGGAGGUAGUGACAAUAAAUAACAAUACGGGGUUCUUUCGGAUCUCGUAAUUGGAAUGAGUACAAUUUAAAUCUCUUAACGAGGAACAAUUGGAGGGCAAGUCUGGUGCCAGCAGCCGCGGUAAUUCCAGCUCCAAUAGCGUAUAUUAAAGUUGUUGCAGUUAAAAAGCUCGUAGUUGAAUUUCGGGGUCAGUAGGUUGGUCGUGCCACAGGUAUGAACUGGUCUCACUGAUUCCUCCUUCCUGAUGAACCGUAAUGCCAUUAAUUUGGUGUUGCGGGGAGACUGGACCGUUACUUUGAAAAAAUUAGAGUGUUUAAAGCAGGCUAACGCUUGAAUACAUUAGCAUGGAAUAAUGAAAUAGGACGUUCGGUCUUAUUUUGUUGGUUUCUAAGAUUGACGUAAUGAUUAAUAGGGAUAGUUGGGGGCAUUAGUAUUCAAUUGUCAGAGGUGAAAUUCUUGGAUUUAUUGAAGACUAACUACUGCGAAAGCAUUUGCCAAGGAUGUUUUCAUUAAUCAAGAACGAAAGUUAGGGGAUCGAAGACGAUCAGAUACCGUCGUAGUCUUAACCAUAAACUAUGCCGACUAGGGAUCGGAUGAUGUUAAUUUUUUAAUGACUCAUUCGGCGCCUUACG